ACCUUCGGGCCUCAUGCCAUCAGAUGUGCCCAGAUGGGAUUAGCUAGUAGGUGGGGUAAUGGCUCACCUAGGCGACGAUCCCUAGCUGGUCUGAGAGGAUGACCAGCCACACUGGAACUGAGACACGGUCCAGACUCCUACGGGAGGCAGCAGUGGGGAAUAUUGCACAAUGGGCGCAAGCCUGAUGCAGCCAUGCCGCGUGUAUGAAGAAGGCCUUCGGGUUGUAAAGU
rnacentral:rRNA from 2 species